rnacentral:rRNA from 1 species
ACGCUCGACACCUACGGGAGGCAGCAGUGGGGAAUAUUGCACAAUGGGGGAAACCCUGAUGCAGCAACGCCGCGUGAGUGAAGAAGUAUUUCGGUAUGUAAAGCUCUAUCAGCAGGGAAGAUAAUGACGGUACCUGACUAAGAAGCUCCGGCUAAAUACGUGCAAGCAGCCGCGGUAAUCUGAGCGGGCUGGCAAGGC